UCCAGUCAGAUGACCAUCAGGUUCCCAUUCUGCCAUAAGUUGACGCAGUGUUAGUUUUUGAGCCCUGAUUGGCCGAAACACUGCAUCAUAUUACAGGUAGCAAGGAGUCCUGGGAGAGUUGCUGUUUGGACUGUAAUCAUUGAAACUACUACUGUCGCCUCAUUGUGAAUUAUUUUGCCUCACUAUCGGUGUUUAUUAACUAGAAAUAUCAGAGGAUGUAUUGAAUGGAGCCUGAGUUAAAGUUAGACCUGCGGUGAGAGAUUUAUUAGAAGAAAAACCCCAACUGGAAGGAAACCGCGACUGAAAACGAGGGAACAGCAACAAAUGAACCAGCCCGAAGACUGAGAGCAUCAACUGGACAGAACCCUCCUGACUCAGAGUUUCCAUUGAUUCGUUCAGCAGAAAGUCUGGUUGACCUGACCUGCGAGAUUUAUUGGAGGAAAAGCCCACGACUGGAAGAAAAUCACAACUGAAGACGAGGGAACAGCAACAAUGAACCAGCCCGAAGACGGAGAGCACCAAAUGGAGAGAACCCAUCUGACUUGGCGUUUCCAUUGAUUCAGUCAGGGGAAAGAUUGGAGAGUCUUAUUUACCCGAACACCGGUCCUUUUGGUAUUACAUUUUUGUACCAAGGAAGGGCAUCACCAGCGGGUGGAGCUGUCGUGCAUCGCGAUCAAAGUGUAAACAAGACGACGAAAAUCGACAAUCAUCAGUCAGAAUAAGAAUGGCUACAGUUCCAGCGCAGGGACCUGACACCAGUAAUGGUCGAAUGACUCCGCUCACCAGGCCAAGCUUCACCUGAGUGAAAGGAGCUGGAGACCCUGAAUCAGCAGGUUGAGAGUGAAACACAUACAGGAAUGAGACAGCGGUGUUGCUUGUUACGUAAAAGUCCAGGUUCAGGGUUUGUUGUACAUCAGGGCCUGUUUAGAGGUGAAAGACAUCUCCAAUUUUCAUUUAUAAAAUUCAGAGACAGGUGAUAAGUGCAUUUCCGGGAUUUCAGAGAUUCUGUGAUAACAAAACAUUUCAGGAUUCGGCAGGGCAGCUAUCAACACCCCUCUUGUUGACAAAGUAGAUGAGGGGAAUUUUCCAAACUCUGUUUUCUGUAGCCGAGCCGAGAACUUUGCCAGACUUGGAAAUGGCUGAGGAUCAGGAGACCCUUCAUUUUAGAUAGACUUGUGGUCAGCUUCGGAGCAUCACUGUCUGGUUUGGAGGGGCUACUGCACAGGACCGAAAGAAGCUGCAGAAAUUUGUAAAUCUACUCAGCUCCAUCUUGGGUACUAGCCUACAAAGUUCCCAAGACAUCUUUGGGAACCAGGGUCUCAGAAAGGCAGCGUCAAAUUAUUAAGGACCUCCAGCACCCCAGGCAUGCCCUUUUCUCACUGUUAGCGUCAGAAAGCAGAUACAGAAGCCUGAAGGUACACACUCAACGAUUCAGGAACAGAUUCGUCCCUUCUGCCAUCUGAUUCCGAAAUGGACAUCCCAUCUUUGGACACUUGCUUACUUUUUUUUGAUAUAGAGUCUUUCUGUUUUUGCAUGAUUUUAAAGAUCUACUCAAUAUACGCAAUUGGUUUAUUUGUCUUCU